rnacentral:lncRNA from 1 species
GAAUUCCAAAGAAUACCUUCUGCAAACCACUUUCCAGGCGCUCAGUUGGGAUUGGCCUUUUUGAUGCUUGAUUCUGAAAAGGUAACCUGAGCCACGCUUUUUCUUCAAUGUUUUGUCUGGAUUCCAAUUUGGGAAUUUUUGGAUUUUUACAACUUUGAGUAAUUCAAAAUUCUUACUGCAGUGAAAUUCUUGUAGCAGGAAGGUUGUGGAUUCUGUGUAUGCCUCUGGUUGUUAAUCAACAUGCAAAGUGGGCUAAGUUUCAAGACUGAGCUUACAUAUUUAACUUGGUGUAGUAUUAUGAUGAUGUGUUUGUGCAGUAUGAUGCAAUUAUUCCUGGUCUGAGUAUAUGCUGGAUGAUGCAUGGUUGAAUGUUGCAGGUGUUGCUGGAAUACGCAAAUU